UACGUAGGGUGCAAGCGUUGUCCGGAAUUAUUGGGCGUAAAGCGCUCGCAGGUGGUUCGUUGCGUCGUGCGUGAAAGACCCCGGCUCAACUGGGGAGGGUCGUGCGAUACGGGCGAACUGGAGGCCAGUAGGGGGAUGCGGAAUUCCAGGUGUAGUGGUGGAAUGCGUAGAGAUCCGGAGGAACACCAGCGGCGAAGGCGGCAUCCUGGACUGGUCCUGACACUCAGGAGCGAAAGCGUGGGGAGCGAUCCGG
rnacentral:rRNA from 1 species